rnacentral:snRNA from 1 species
AGCCGUGUGGUGAGCACAGAGCGAACUAUUCUUUGGCCUUUUACUAAAGAAUACCGUGUGCUCAGCACUCAAAGCGUCGGACGCCUAUUUUUGAGGGCUUCUCUCUGUUAAGCUC